ACCAGAGAAGUGAACAUAGGGCACUCCCUAUUGGACUGAAGUGGCUUGUUGCAUGGCUUGUCCCAUGAUUCAGAGAACUUUUAUGGCCAUGACAAGAUGCCUGUGUUUCUCAGAGAGAGGGUCUGCUAACUGCCCACAGCAUGCCGGCUGAGUUCUUCCUUCACAACAGCUACAGAACCCCUAGAACUUCAACUGAAUUGGUUCAACAGGACUGAAUACAAACAUGCAACUGCUGACUAUCUCCAAACUUGCUCCUGCAAAGCAGAAUUACUUUACUGGUGCAUCUAUGAAAAUCAGACUAAAUAUUACAUAAAUCCAAUGAGCUACCACAAUGCACAAGGUUUUUGUUUUGCAAUGAAUCCCAUCUGAAUGUUUCUUACAGACUUAACCAAAGCAUAUAUGUACAAGCUAAAGUGCAGAGACAGGUAGAUCUCUGUGCCUCACUGGCCAGCAAGUCUAGCCUAUUUGUAGAGUUCCAGAUCAUUGACAGAGACCCUGCCACACAAUACAAGGUGAGUAGUGCCCGAGGAACAACACCUACAGUUGAGUUCUAGCCUCUAGCACAGGUUCAUGUAUUCAUGUGCAACUGUAAAUGCAUUUGUGUCCAAUAAGACAACAUUUACAAAGGAAGCCCAAUGCUUUCCAUGGAGAGAUUAGUGAACAGAAUAUAUUUUUAUGUAAAGCAUAAACAAUAUACCUCUAGGAAGCGAAAUUUAUCACACCUAGCCCAGUGUGGACUUUGAACGAACAAUGUAUAGAAAGGGGAAAGCAUAAACUCCAUAACACAGACAUUUAGCUCCCAUGACUUCAGCAAAAAGACAAAGGUGAGGAUAUCAAGAGUAUAUUAAGCUGACUAUAUACCUCCUUGAUAGAAGAGGGCUGUUAGAUACUUCA